GUGGGAUCUUACAGAGAUAAAAAAGAUUAUAAAGGCAUACUAUGAACAAUUGUACACCAACACAUUGGAUAACCUGGAAGAGAUGGACCAAUUCCUAGAAAGACACCAAACUGACUCAAG